AUUGCUGCGGCCGCUGUUUGUUAUUAAACUGCCCAGAGAAAGGGCUUCGAGUAAAAACACCAACUUUCCAGUCGGGGCGGCGCAGGUCCCCGGGCCCUGGAAAGUUCUGGGACGGCCGAGGUCUCCCCGGACACCCGCACCCACGCCCCCGUCGUGCCCUUUCUGGCUUUUGGCUUCCUCUCCUCGAUUUCCCUUUUGUGCGGCCCCGGGCAGCUUCCUCAGGCCCCGCCGCCCCCACCUGGCCGCCCUGGGAGCUGUUCCUCCCCCAGCAGCAGGAGCAUCCAGCUCGGGUUUUAUUACCUCCCGAGACACUCGAGGAAGCCUCAGAUUGAUACAGAUUUGUUUGGUUUUAAUUUUUUAUUUAUUCCUUUUACUGGUUUCGAAGUGAUGAUCCUUUUAUUAUUCUUUUAGCGCUUACCUUCAAAUUUUAAAUGGACAUUAUUGAGGCUUGUCAACGUCUACAAAAGUGUACUGGAAUUUUGAUUGGGAUUAUGUUGAAUCACUGGAUCAAUUUUUGGAGAACUGACAACUCAACAAUAUUGAGUGUGUAGGUUUAUAUAUGUGAUAUAGCUCUCCAUGUAUUUAGAUUUUUAGUUUCCCUCCACAAUCUUUUAUAGUUUUAAUUAAACAAAUUGCACACAUAUUUUAAAAAAUGUAUCCCUAGGUAUUUUAUUUUUGAUGCUAUUGUAAAUGCUAUUGGGCUUUUUAAAAAAUCGUUUCAAUUUUCUGUUGUUUUUGUUAAAUAUAAAAAUGCAAAUAAUUUGUGUUCAUAGACCUUAUAUCUGGAAACGUUGCUAAAUGUAUUUUUUUAUUCCAUUAGCUCUUUUGCUUAUUCCUUACUAUUUUCUUUGUGGGCAGUCAUGUCAUCUACAAAUAAACAGUUUUACUCCUUUUC
rnacentral:lncRNA from 10 species